rnacentral:rRNA from 1 species
AGAGUUUGAUCCUGGCUCAGGAUUAACGCUGGCGGUGUGUCUAAUACAUGCAAGUCGAGCGCCCCUUCGGGGGAGCGGCGAACGAGUGAGUAACGCGUUGAUACUUGCCCUAGACUCAGGGAUAGCCCAUCGAAAGGUGGAUUAAUACCGGAUAGUCCCGCAAGGGUAAAGAUUUAUCGGUCUAGGAGAGGUCUGCGUAGUAUCAGCUUGUUGGUGGGGUAAUGGCCUACCAAGGCUUUGACGCUUAACUGGUCUGAGAGGAUGAUCAGUCACGAUGGAACUGAGACACGGUCCAUACUCCUACGGGAGGCAGCAGUAGGGAAUCUUCCACAAUGGACGAAGGUCUGAUGGAGCAACACCGCGUGGUUGAUGAAGCCCCUUGGGGUGUAAAGACCUUUUCUGAAGGAAGAAUUAUGACGGUACUUCAGGAAUAAGCACCGGCUAACUCCGUGCCAGCAGCCGCGGUAAUACGGAGGGUGCAAGCGUUAUCCGGAAUCAUUGGGCGUAAAGCGUCUGCAGGUGGUUUAUUAAGUUGGGUGUUAAAGACCGAGGCUCAACCUCGGAAAGGUACCCAAAACUGGUAAACUUGAGUAAUGGAGAGGCACGUGGAAUUUUGUGUGUAGGGGUAAUAUCCGUUGAUACACAGAGGAACACCAAAAGCGAAGGCAGCGUGCUGGCCAUUUACUGACACUCAGAGACGAAAGCGUGGGUAGCGAACAGGAUUAGAUACCCUGGUAGUCCACGCUGUAAACGAUGGAUACUCGAUGUUGGAGGGUUCGGCCCUUUCAGUGUCUAAGCUAACGCGUUAAGUAUCCCGCCUGGGGAGUACGGUCGCAAGAUUAAAACUCAAAGGAAUAGACGGGGACCCACACAAGCGGUGGAGCAUGGGGUUUAAUUCGAUACUAAGCGGGUAACCUUACCCAGACUUGACAUCUUGAGAACUUUCUAGAAAUAGAGAGGUGCCGCAAGGAACUCAAUGACAGGUGCUGCAUGGUUGUCGUCAGCUCGUGCCUUGAGGUGUUCGGUUAAGUCCGUAAACGAGCGCAACCCUUGUCCUAUGUUGUAUUUUUCAUAGGAGACUGCCCGGCCUAACUGGGAGGAAGGUAAGGAUGACGUCAAAUCAGCAUGGCCCUUAUGUCUGGGGCCACACCCGUGCUACAAUGGUCGGUACAAAAGGUAGCAAAGGAGUAAUCCGGAGCCAAUCCCUAAAACCGAUCUCAGUUCGGAUUGAGGGCUGCAACUCGCCCUCAUGAAGUUGGAAUCGCUAGUAACCGCGUAUCAUCUAUGGCGCGGUGAAUAUGUUCCUGGGUCUUGUACUCACCGCCCGUCACAUCAUGAAAGGUGGGGGCGCCCGAAGUACCCGAUUUAUUUGGGUCCUAAGGCGAAACCACUAAUUGGGAUGAAGUCGUAACAAGGUA